rnacentral:rRNA from 1 species
GACGAACGUUGGCGGCGUGCUUAACACAUGCAAGUCGAACGGAAAGGCCCUGCUUUUGUGGGGUGCUCGAGUGGCGAACGGGUGAGUAACACGUGAGUAACCUGCCCUUGACUUCGGGAUAACUUCAGGAAACUGGGGCUAAUACCGGAUAGGAGCUCCUGCUGCAUGGUGGGGGUUGGAAAGUUUCGGCGGUUGGGGAUGGACUCGCGGCUUAUCAGCUUGUUGGUGGGGUAGUGGCUUACCAAGGCUUUGACGGGUAGCCGGCCUGAGAGGGUGACCGGCCACAUUGGGACUGAGAUACGGCCCAGACUCCUACGGGAGGCAGCAGUGGGGAAUAUUGCACAAUGGGCGGAAGCCUGAUGCAGCAACGCCGCGUGCGGGAUGACGGCCUUCGGGUUGUAAACCGCUUUCGCCUGUGACGAAGCGUGAGUGACGGUAAUGGGUAAAGAAGCGCCGGCUAACUACGUGCCAGCAGCCGCGGUGAUACGUAGGGUGCGAGCGUUGUCCGGAUUUAUUGGGCGUAAAGGGCUCGUAGGUGGUUGAUCGCGUCGGAAGUGUAAUCUUGGGGCUUAACCCUGAGCGUGCUUUCGAUACGGGUUGACUUGAGGAAGGUAGGGGAGAAUGGAAUUCCUGGUGGAGCGGUGGAAUGCGCAGAUAUCAGGAGGAACACCAGUGGCGAAGGCGGUUCUCUGGGCCUUUCCUGACGCUGAGGAGCAAAAGCGUGGGGAGCGAACAGGCUUAGAUACCCUGGUAGUCCACGCUGUAAACGGUGGGUACUAGGUGUGGGGUCCAUUCCACGGGUUCCGUGCCGUAGCUAACGCUUUAAGUACCCCGCCUGGGGAGUACGGCCGCAAGGCUAAAACUCAAAGGAAUUGACGGGGCCCCGCACAAGCGGCGGAGCAUGCGGAUUAAUUCGAUGCAACGCGUAGAACCUUACCUGGGUUUGACAUGGAUCGGGAGUGCUCAGAGAUGGGUGUGCCUCUUUUGGGGUCGGUUCACAGGUGGUGCAUGCCUGUCGUCAGCUCGUGUCGUGAGAUGUUGGGUUAAGUCCCGCAACGAGCGCAACCCUUGUUCACUGUUGCCAGCACGUUAUGGUGGGGACUCAGUGGAGACCGCCGGGGUCAACUCGGAGGAAGGUGGGGAUGACGUCAAGUCAUCAUGCCCCUUAUGUCCAGGGCUUCACGCAUGCUACAAUGGCUGGUACAGAGAGUGGCGAGCCUGUGAGGGUGAGCGAAUCUCGGAAAGCCGGUCUCAGUUCGGAUUGGGGUCUGCAACUCGACCUCAUGAAGUCGGAGUCGCUAGUAAUCGCAGAUCAGCAACGCUGCGGUGAAUACGUUCCCGGGGCC